CCUACGGGAGGCAGCAGUAGGGAAUAUUGGGCAAUGGGCGAAAGCCUGACCCAGCCACGCCGCGUGCAGGAAGACGGCCCUCUGGGUUGUAAACUGCUUUUAACUGGGAAGAAAGAAGCCCAUGCGUGGGAAGUUGACGGUACCAGUUGAAUAAGCCACGGCUAACUACGUGCCAGCAGCCGCGGUAAUACGUAGGUGGCAAGCGUUAUCCGGAUUUAUUGGGUUUAAAGGGUGCGUAGGCGGUUCAAUAAGUCAGUGGUUAAAGGUAGCAGCUUAACUGUUUUACAUGCCACUGAUACUGCUGAACUUGAGUUGACAGAAGGCAGAUAGAAUUUCUGGUGUAGCGGUGAAAUGCUUAGAUACCAGAAGGAAUACCGAUUGCGAAGGCAGUCUGCUGCAGUCACACUGACGCUGAGGCACGAAAGUGCGGGGAUCAAACAGGAUUAGAUACCCUGGUAGUCCGCACAGUAAACGAUGAUUACUAGAUGUUGGUGCGNGCAGUGUCAGGAACGAGUAGUAGUACACGNGGAGACGCGGCGACGUAGAACCGAAACGAAGUUAGAGCGNGNGACGNGCGACGGACGACGACGAGGGAGGAGG
rnacentral:rRNA from 1 species